UUGACCUCGGAUCAGGUAGGGAUACCCGCUGAACUUAAGCAUAUCAAUAAGCGGAGGAAAAGAAACCAACAGGGAUUGCCCCAGUAACGGCGAGUGAAGCGGCAAAAGCUCAAAUUUGAAAUCUGGCUCCUUUCGGGGUCCGAGUUGUAAUUUGCAGAGGAUGCUUUGGGUGUGUCUGCGGCGUAAGUCCCUUGGAACAGGGCGUCAUAGAGGGUGAGAAUCCCGUCUUGAGUCGCCAGGCGCGCCCGUUUAAAGCUCCUUCGACGAGUCGAGUUGUUUGGGAAUGCAGCUCUAAGUGGGUGGUAAAUUUCAUCUAAAGCUAAAUAUUGGCCGGAGACCGAUAGCGAACAAGUAGAGUGAUCGAAAGGUUAAAAGCACCUUGAAAAGGGAGUUAAAUAGCACGUGAAAUUGUUGAAAGGGAAGCGCUUGCAGCCAGACUCGAGCGCGGAGGCUCAGCGGGCAUGUUAUGCCUGUGCACUCCUUCGCGCCCGGGCCAGCAUCAGUUCUUGCGGCCGGUCAAAGGCCCCUGGAAUGUGUCGUCCUCCGGGACGUCUUAUAGCCAGGGGUGCAAUGCGGCCAGCGGGGACUGAGGAACGCGCUUCGGCACGGAUGCUGGCAUAAUGGCUGUAAGCGGCC
rnacentral:rRNA from 2 species